rnacentral:rRNA from 1 species
AUACGGAGGGUGCAAGCGUUAUUCGGAAUCACUGGGCGUAAAGGACGCGUAGGCGGGUUGGCAAGUCAGAUGUGAAAUCCUACAGCUUAACUGUAGAACUGCAUUUGAAACUGCUAACCUAGAGUAUGGGAGGGGGAGAUGGAAUUAGUGGUGUAGGGGUAAAAUCCGUAGAUAUCACUAGGAAUACCGGAAGCGAAGGCGAUCUCCUGGAACAUAACUGACGCUAAGGCGUGAAAGCGUGGGGAGCAAACAGGAUUAGAUACCCUAGUAGUCC